AUGAGGGCUGAAUGCUGUAAAUCUGAGUGGGAGGAGUUUAACACUGGCAUCAUGAGAUUCAAGAAGACUGUCAACAUUUCACAAGUGUGUUUAGAUCAUCUGAGUGUCUCCUGUUCAAACCUGCCAUCAUGUUGAUCUCUUUCAUUAUUAUACUCCUAUCAUCAGCUCAAGAUUCCAGUGCUACAGAAGCCAUCACACCAUACAGGGCUUAUGAAUUUGCUUUUAAGGAUGACAGAGUGAUCCUCUCCUGUAACUACACUGGUUCUGCUCGAGGUCUGCACUGGUAUCGACAGUAUCCAGGUUUACCACCCCAUUUCCUCAUACUGGAUUACUAUGGGGCAGUUACUCAUGCAAAACCUCCGAUUGCUGGAAUCUCCAUCAAACACAGAAAAGACGACAGCAGUGUGGAUCUGGAGAUCUCCUCUGCUGCAGUAUCAGACUCUGCUCUUUACUACUGCGCACUGGAGACCACAGUGACAGGAAAAGCAUCUACACUGUACAAAAACGAGCUUAAAUAUGACUGUGCAAGACAAACGCUUUAUAUACAGUAA